rnacentral:lncRNA from 1 species
AAUACAGUUAAUUUUUUUAAGUUAAUUAAAUUUAUCGUUACCAUAUUACUGGUUUGUAGUGUUCAAUCAAAUUUAUAUACUUAUAUAAUUUAAUUUAUUAAAAUUAAUACAAUUCAAAAUAUUUUCUAUUUAUUUUAUGUAUUCUUAUUUUUUACGAUAUGCUCAUAAUUUUACAAAUGCCUGAAGUUGGUAACUGGAGUUUUUUAUUUUAAAAAUAGCAUUUCAUUAUUAAGGGUGGAGCACAAAGAAAUCAAUCCCUUGCAGUGCAUAACAUUGUAUGCGUUAGUUUUGAAUUUCACAAAGGUUUGUCUGCCAUAUAUACUAUGACGCCCAUAUAACUCUUAAGACAAUUACAAAUUAAAUAGUACUAUUCGAUAGAAAACAACAAAUUUAUCCCUUACCAUUAUUUCUUUAUACCGCAAAAAUCUGGAACCGAGCUGCUUCGUUAACCGCGCUUAUUUCUCCCCUGACUCACUAAACCCCGCGCGUGACAAAUUAUUUCUCAAUUAAAAUAUUCCACUACAUCAAGUGCACCUAGUUUUAAAUACUCCGGUCAGAUCUUUACCGUUAAAGGUGAAAAAGUACCUAAGAUUGCUUUACGGGGACACGUGAGGUUCUCAAUGGUCAUAGUCAAUUUGACCAGAGUUCGUAGCCAGAGAAACCAGACAUCAGACAAUAAUGAAACAAAAGUUAAUGCUCUUUAUGGAAAACAAGAAUUCUCAAUUUUGCCAUUUAUUUUUCCCAUUUUUAUAUUUUAUGUUAUUAAAAAAGAAACAGUAUUUCACUACAUAAGAUUUCAUAAACUGUAUCAAAAUUUUCUGGAAAUGAAUAACAUAAUGAUGGCAAUGAAAAGUAUCUAACGAUUUUUAAUUAAAUAUGACUAUUAAGUUUUAGUAUCCUAGGUGUAUGCAUG